rnacentral:tRNA from 1 species
GGUAGAAUAGUUGACUAACAACAUUAAAUUGCAGAUUUGAAAGUAUACAUAUAAUAGUAUUUCUACUU